GACGAACGCUGGCGGCGCGCUUAACACAUGCAAGUCGAGCGAGAACCAGCCUUUCGGGACUGGGGAAAGCGGCGAACGGGUGAGUAUCACGUGGGUAAUCUGCCCUCGGCACUGGGAUAGCCCGGGGAAACCCGGAUUAAUACCGGAUAGCCUCUCGAGCCUUCGGGCUCGUCAGAAAAGGUGGCUUCGGCUUCCGGCUGAGGAUGAGCCCGCGGCGGAUUAGCUUGUUGGUGGGGUAAUGGCUCACCAAGGCGACGAUCCGUAGCUGGUCUGAGAGGACGAUCAGCCACACUGGGACUGAGACACGGCCCAGACUCCUACGGGAGGCAGCAGUGGGGAAUCUUGCGCAAUGGGCGAAAGCCUGACGCAGCGACGCCGCGUGCGGGAAGAAGGCCUUCGGGUUGUAAACCGCUUUCAGGAGGGACGAAGCCACUCGGGUUAAUAGCCCAGAGGGUGACGGUACCUCCAGAAGAAGCCCCGGCUAACUACGUGCCAGCCGCCGCCGUAAUAC
rnacentral:rRNA from 1 species